rnacentral:rRNA from 1 species
CCUACGGGAGGCAGCAGUGAGGAAUAUUGGUCAAUGGGCUUACGCCUGAACCAGCCAAGUCGCGUGCGGGAAGACUGCCCUAUGGGUUGUAAACCUCUUUUGUCAGGGAGCAAAGCCGGCUACGCGUAGCCGGCCUGAGAGUACCUGAAGAAGAAGACCGGGCUAACCACGUGCCAGCAGCCGCGGUAAUCCGGAGGGGGCAAGCGUUAUCAGGAUUUAUUGGGUGUAAAGGGGGCGCAGCCGGCGAUGCAAGCCAGGGGUGAAAGCCCGGGGCCCAACCCCGGGACUGCUCUUGGAACUGCGUGGCUAGAGUGCAGGAGGGGCAGGCGGAAUGCCUGGUGUAGCGGUGAAAUGCGUAGAUAUCA